UGAUUUAUAUUUUUAAAUAAUGUUUCAAUUGUUGUAUUUAUCAUUGGGUUUGUUCAAGUAAGGAGUAAUAUAUAGACUUUCUUUCUUUUUUUGUUUUUUUUUAUUAUAAAACCCCCACAGCACCGAGAGUGUAGUAAGUUAUUCAAACAAAGCGUGCACGGAGUAAUGUUAUGUAAAUUAUAAAUGCUUGAGUGAUUUUGGGUUACAAGGCAUACCCAGGUAUUUGUGCUGAUAGGCACUACCAUCUCAGCCUGUGUGAUGUGUGCAUGGGUAGUCAAACCUGUGUGGUGCUGUACAUAAUACUGCGUGUAUUGUACAUAGGGCGUGGCCCUCAAGCCAAGCCAGAGCCAGUUCUCCAAAACUGGCUUUCCCUGUGGGAAUAGAGAAUUCCUAGGUUCUUGGUGAACCAGAUAGCUUGUUCUGUGUGAACAACAGUUAGCCAACUCCCAAGACUCACGGUCUACCGAGAGAGUCAGGAGGAAUAUUCGGAACCGAGUCCUGUGUGGACCGUCAGGCAUCGAGCCAGAUUCCAAGGCCCGGAGAGGUCACCCAAGUUCCCCAAGCCCGGAGUUCAUCCGCCUUAGUGGGACCGUCAAAGCGCCGGAGGGAUGUUGUGAGUGACUGGUGCUCCAAAUCGACCACCCGUGUCACAAGUGUGAGCUUUGAACACAGCAAGUCCUUCAAAAGGUUUUGAACAGUGACUGUUUAGGGGGGUGAUUACAUUUGUUUUGGGGUAUUGGAAACGGCCGUAUAACACAUAAUACAGGAUCCUUAUAAUGCCAUGAUAUAGUUGAGUAUCCGUCACUCAAAGUAUAAGUAAUUCAUAUAGUGGCAUAAUUCAAUUGAAAUAAUUUGUACAUAGUAAAUUUCCGUUUGUUUAAUUUAUUUAUUUGUCGUAAUUAAAUAGUAUUUUGUCUUGAUCAUA
rnacentral:lncRNA from 1 species